AUGAAUCACGAAGAUGGCUCUGAUGCUUGGGGUUCUCAAAGGCCAGAAACGCCCCCUUGGGAUGCAUCAGAGUACAGUCAACUCAUCUCUGCAGGGCCGUUGCUGCCACUACUAGAACAAGCGUUCAUGCAGCACGUGGCAUCAGGCAGCACCCAUGUACCUGCCAUCGACGUCAUACACAGGCCUACAACUACAGUGAACAGCGGCGCGGGGACAUCUACUGCGGGGAGCUCUGAGCGCACGGAAGACGCGUUCCACCAGCCAGCAGACAAUCAUGCCGCAAACAAUUUCGAGUCAGAGUCGGGAAUGGCAAUCAUUCCAGCAAUGCCGACAAGCACCCCUUUGAACACAAGCACUGCCAACACUCAAGUAGAUGGAACUGCCGCCGAUACUAAAGUGAAUGAUGAAACUGACGACGAUGCACAAGGGGAUGAAGAUGGUGGGCAAUCAAAGAUCAUGGUACCUCAGCCACCGUACAUUGGGCAGAGAUUUGAAUCGUUCGAAGAAGCAAAGGAAUACUACCGGACAUAUGCAAAGUUCCAUGGAUUUGCGGUCAACACCGAGUACCAUAGAAAAAUUAAGAAAACUAACGAGUACAACAGAGGUGAGAUGAGGUGCCACAAGGCACGGAGGAACAAGAAGGGGAAAGGUGUUGCGCCUGUCGUUCUGGAACGAAGGAGAGGUAUCAUUCUCAAGACAGAGUGUCCCGUCCGGUGUAAGCUAAACGUAGAUGGAGAACAGUGGGUGGUCAAUGAGUAUUUUGACGAGCACAACCACCAACUCAUAAAGAAGUUCGACCUGGUAAAAUUUCUGAUCGCCCACAGAGGGUUCACCCCCGUCGAAAGGCAAUUCGUAAAGCUGCUACAUGAUUGUAAUGUUGGUCCAUCAAGAAUGGUACAGAUACUAUCUCUCAUCCACAGCAAAAAGGGGAAACUGAGUAGCAUGCCGUACAUACCAGCUGACGUCACAAACCUAAAGGCCAAGUACCGUAGAGAGAGCCAGUUGACAGACAUAGAGGCCACAAUUGCCUACUUCGAUGAGAAAGCGAAGGAAGAUCCAGAUUUCUUCUACAGGAUAAGGCACUGCAGGUGGCACAUUAUAAAGAAGGCUGAGGAGACGCUAGGACCGUUCUUUGCUGACCGUCCAGAGCUGCACAAGGCAUUCGAGCUGUGCGUGGACCACAGCUUGACGAUGGAGGAGUUUGAAAGGAGCUGGAUGGCCAUGAUUGAAACACAUCAAGUACAAGACAACGAGACACUUGCUAACCUGUGGGAGAAGCGAAUGUAUUGGGUGCCGGCCUACUUCUUCCCAUUUCUGCAGACUACGCAGCGCAGCGAGGGGUUCAAUGCUGUUUUGAAGCGGUACGUCAGCCCUGGCAACUCAUUGCUACAAUUUGCCAAGCAGUACACAGCUUUGCAACAAAAAAUUCUGGGAUCUGAGCUACAGCAAGAAGCGACCACAACACUAAAGCAGCCAAAAUUGCUAACGUAUUUACCGAUGGAGAGGCAAAUGAGCAAGAUAUACACCAACAAGAUCUUUAACAAAUUCCAAGAAGAAAUAAAGCGUGCCAGCAUGUUCACGGCUUUCCAGGUGGACGAACAUACGUUCAAGGUGUGUUCUAUUUUGGGCAUGUCAGAUUCAGAACCUGAAGACCCGGACAAAGGAAGGAACUACUUCGUCAAAGCCUCGAUAGGCGAAGGCGAGUACUACUGCCAAUGUUGCAAGUUCGAACGGGACGGCAUUGUGUGCUGUCACAUACUAAAAGUAAUAGACAUGGACGCUGUGACACGGAUGCCCCGCCAUUUCAUAAGGCGGCGAUGUACUUGGGACGCUGACGACGCGUUGGCGCCACAGACAACACACGCAGUUCUGGCUGUGCAUGACGAGAGACCUGAGUCAACCAUGGAAGCCGUGAGGCACGUUGUGCUGACAAAGAACUAUGCUGAGCUAAUUGAUGAAGCAUGCAAGAGUGAUGAGACAGCGAGAGUCGCGGAAAAACACAGGAAGGCACUGAAAAGAGAUCUUGAUGAGAUCAAGAAGAGAAAAGCUGAGGAAGCCUUACACCGGUUCCCCCGCACAUCAAGUGUGCCUUCAUCCACGGGGCCAUCAUCCACGGGGCCACGCAGACCCAGGUCAGGGACCCACCCCGUUCCAUCACAAAGGGUCGUCCAAGAGAGAUAA
rnacentral:rRNA from 1 species